AAGACCUUGCGCUUUUGGAGCGGCCGAUGCCUGGUUAGCUUGUUGGUAAGGCAAAAGCUUACCAAGGCUUCGAUCAGUAGCUGGUCUGGGAGGACGACCAGCCACACUGGGACUGAGACACGGCCCAGACUCCUACGGGAGGCAGCAGUGGGGAAUUUUGGACAAUGGGGGCAACCCUGAUCCAGCCAUGCCGCGUGAGUGAAGAAGGCCUUCGGGUUGUAAAGCUCUUUCAGCCGGAACGAAACGGUUACGGAUAACACCCGUGACUACUGACGGUACCGGAAGAAGAAGCACCGGCUAACUACGUGCCAGCAGCCGCGGUAAUACGUAGGGUGCGAGCGUUAAUCGGAAUUACUGGGCGUAAAGCGUGCGCAGGUGGUUUUGUAAGUCAGAUGUGAAAGCCCCGGGCUCAACCUGGGAACU
rnacentral:rRNA from 1 species